GAGCUUGUUUCAGGAGCACAUGUACCAACACUGGAACAGGGAAGACCGGCAUGACUCCUGUGCAAGGAUGACACACACACUCGUGAAGUGUUCCAUAUUUUU
ensembl:snRNA U6 U6 spliceosomal RNA